AACGAACGCUGGCGGCGUGGUUCAGGCAUGCAAGUCGCACGAUUCCGCAAGGAAUAGUGGCAGAAGGGUUAGUAACACGUGGGUAAUCUACCCUCGAGACGGGGAUAACAUUUCGAAAGAAAUGCUAAUACCCGAUGGAAUUAUCGGAGCAUAAGUUUUGAUAAUCAAAGGUAGCUCGCAAGGGCUGUCACUUGAGGAGGAACCCGCGGCCUAUCAGCUAGUUGGUGAGGUAAUGGCUCACCAAGGCAUUUGACGGGUAGCUGGUCUAAGAGGACGGUCAGCAACAUUGGGACUGAGACACUGCCCAGACUCCUACGGGAGGCUGCAGUCGAGGAUCUUUAGCAAUGCCCGCAAGGGUGACUAUGCGACGCCGCGUGGAGGAUGAAGGCCUUCGGGUCGUAAACUCCUGUCAGGGGGGAAGAA
rnacentral:rRNA from 1 species